rnacentral:misc_RNA from 1 species
UUAAUUAAUUUCGCUAAUCGCUCAGACUGCAAUCUUCAGACAGCGUUCAGGGGGGUCUUCGGCAGGCGCGGGCCCGGGGGCAGAGGCCCCCCGGCGGCCGUGAGGCGGGCCUGCCGAAGCAACAUGGUACGGUAAACACGGGUGGGAGGUUGGACCCCGAGGGGCCCUCACUCAGUAAUGAUCCUUCCGCAGGUUCACCUACGGAAA